AUCAGAAAAUUACAAUCAUUUCCAUGACUGUACAAAGCUUGCUUUAAACCCAAAAGUGGUUAAUCUUUUAGCACUAUAGAAUAGGGAUGGUAGUAAGAACCUUUUUGAUGUUUGUUCAUAAUUCAUCGCCAAUUUUUUUUUUUUUUUUUUUUUUUUUUUUGAUAAACUCUGGUCAGUGAUUUUAAAGCUAAUGGAUGAAAUAUAUGCGAACGAGGAGAAGAGCAUUAUUUGCUUUUCACAGUUUAAUGCCUGUAUAUUUUGAUCCUAAAGCUUUUCUUUUUUUAAGUUAUGUCUACUGCCUGCUACACAGGUACUACAGUGGAACCUGACAUCAAAACUAACACAUGUUGAAUUUCACAUGAAUGACUUUAGUCAUACAAUAUUUUCAAAACUCACAAUAAUACAAAAAAAUGAAAUAAAAAUUAAAAAAAUAAUCCUAGUCCAGGCGAGGUUCGAUCUCACGACCUCUGGAUUACAACGCGAACUCGCUAACUACUAUACCAUUGUGGAGUUAUGACGUAAUUAGACAAACAUAAGUAUAUAUAAUAAAGUUCAGUAAUGGCAGCGUGACGAAAGUCAUUUUGAAAUGAAAAUAUUGUGUUUUAUUUCUUUUUUUGUUCGUAGAAAAUGUAUUUAGCACUUAUUUCUUAUUAUCAAACGCUCAUUUGCAUUUUUAUUCAAUAUUCAAAGCAGUAAGCGAGACGCUUUUGUCAACUGUAAACAGUAAGCGUCUACUGACGUCUUUACUGAUUAAUUACUAUGUGCAUAGUGUACUUGAAAAAAUCCGAACAACACCGAUUCCAAAAAGUACCACGAAUUUUCAGCUCGAUAGUUUACACAGUUAGAUAUCUCUGUUCAUUUUCUUUUUCAUACGUCUAACCGUAAUGCGAUGCUGUCGGCGCCGCUUCGCGGCGCCCGUAGCUCUGCUAUUACACAAAAAAAAAUCAGAUGAGCGUCAGCACCCGCAAGGCGGUGCUCUUGUUAUAUAUACUGCUAUAGGAAAUCCUGUAUUCUUAUAUCCGUAAUGUACUAAACUUGCUAUCUGUUAUUCACAUUAAUUUAUGUAAUAUUUUAAAAAAACAGUAUACGUUUUUCCGCCAUUCAACGUAACGUUUACUUCAUGACGUCACGUCCGUUGUUUUAUUAUGUAUUUAUCCUGAUGAAGGUCACAAUAGCCUAAAUAGUUUCCCCUAUAUAUUCUAUAUAAAACUGACCUUUUUCAAAGAGCUACUAAACAUAGCUAGACCCAUUUCAGAGAACAAAUCCUUACCUCAUUUUAAAGAGUUAUGAUAAAACUGAUAUAAAAUGAAGAGAAAAGUAGGGGUCAUGUAUCUUCUAAGAAAGAUUUCUCUGGUCACAUUUACUUACUGUAAACUGACAUCAAAAUCACACUGCUGUGACCUGAAAGUACUACUCAUACUAAAAUGGAGCUUGACUUCACCAAAUACAACCUGCUCUCCCAUUUUUCCUGCCAAAAUGUCAACAAUACAUCCACAAUGAAAUUUAAACAAAAACUAGACUCAAUUUAGAUCUCUGUUGCCAUGCCAAGUGAAAAAUUAGUGUUCAAAUACCUGGCAGCCAUUACGCGACUAGACCAGAUGGCUCCCACGCUGGUUCCUUUAGUUUAGUUAGGCCUAUAAGAAAAACUGUUUUUCUGUAACAGUCUCAAUUUCAUUUGUAUAGUACCAGUAACACAUCUGCAUGAAAAAUACCAAGUUUCAGCUUGAUUAAAUCAGUUUUCCAGGUUUGAUGGCAUUUUCAGUAACGCGUGUCCCUGCGCCAAUUUUCCUUCAAAACUGAUGUCGCGACAUAAUUUUUAACCAGUUCUUGUAGCCAGAGCUGGUUUUUGCCCUAUUUCAUAAACUUUCACCAUAAUUUGCAAGCAAAUUACACAUUAACACUUUGAAAUAUACCAAAUGUCCCCUCUGAAAGGUAUAGAUGGGCAUAAUUUAGAGAGCAAAUUUGCAUUUUUAAAAAAAAAAUACCCCCAAGACAGUGAAAAUGUGAUUUUUUGGGUUUUUACCAAUUUUUGCAGCAAAAUUCCAAUGAAAUGCUCAUUUUUUACCAAAAUCUGACCAAACUAGUUCAUUUAUAUCAAUAUCUGGACAAAUCUCAUUUUUUGCCCACAUUUUCUUAUAGGUCACAAUAGCCUAAAUAGUUUCCCCUAUAUAUUCUAUAUAAAACUGACCUUUUUCAAAGAGCUACCAAACAUAGCUAGACCCAUUUCAGAGAACAAAUCCUUACCUCAUUUUAAAGAGUUAUGAUAAAACUGAUAUAAAAUGAAGAGAAAAGUAGGGGUCAUGUAUCUUCUAAGAAAGAUUUCUCUGGUCACAUUUACUUACUGUAAACUGACAUCAAAAUCACACUGCUGUGACCUGAAAGUACUACUCAUACUAAAAUGGAGCUUGACUUCACCAAAUACAACCUGCUCUCCCAUUUUUCCUGCCAAAAUGUCAACAAUACAUCCACAAUGAAAUUUAAACAAAAACUAGCCUCAAUUUAGAUCUCUGUUGCCAUGCCAAGUGAAAAAUUAGUGUUCAAAUACCUGGCAGCCAUUACGCGACUAGACCAGAUGGCUCCCACGCUGGUUCCUUUAGUUUAGUUAGGCCUGAAGGCGUAAGCGCCGUAACGUUGAUAAAAGAUAAAUAUUCACGUGUUGUUGUUGAAUUUUACCACCAUUAAGUCUAACACAUUUCUAAGUGCCCUUAACACAUUUGUUGUAGGUUUGUAUUAUAUAGUCACUAUCAACUCACGAACUAUUUUAUAUUAUUUGAUUCCUGUGAGCUCUUUUUCCUGUUCAGAAACCACCGUAAAGUCCACCUACGCUAAAACAGGUGAGUACGGUGGAUGGGGUAGAGUUCCAAACCUAAACAGACCUCAAGAAGUACAAGCGUUGACAUCUUGGUGGAAUACUAGCAGUACUUGUGGACGCUAUUUGCGCAGUGUUUGAAUAAGAUAACUACGUAAACCCUGAACGCGGCAUAAAAUGCAGUCUUUAAUAAUGGUUAAAAGUUACAGUAAAUAUGCAAUAAAUUGUUUUGACAAAUAAAAUGUUCAUAUUACUUAUGCAGAUCUAAAGGAAACUAUUUAAAAUGAUUGCAAAGAAGAAAUAACUUCAAAUAGAAUCAGGCAUUUAAGGUCUGCCCAACAGGGUUUGUACUGAAGGAUGAUGCCUUAUACAAAAUGUAUAACCAUAGAGAACAUAAACAUAAUGCUGCCGCCUGAUUUGUACUUGUUUUCUUUAGUUUUCUUUAGUGGAGUUAUCGUUAGUGCUUUAUAGUUAGAACAUUCUCCCUAAUAUUCCAGGUCAUAUUGUCAUAAACUCAUGACAAAUAUUCACCUUCCCUCUGGUACGAUCGGAAGAAUUCUUAUGGCUUGUCAAAACGCUUUUAAUUAUCUUAGCGGUAACUCGGCAGAGCCUCGAGCCAAAUAUUUCCACCCGCACCUUCAACCAGUGAACAAUUCUUGUAGUCUGUACAUAUAAUGAAAUAAGAAAACGUUACCAUGAUUCUUCAGGUCAAUAUUUGAAUGGCCAAGUUGUUGAUAUAGUGACGUUUCGUGACUGCGUUUAAUGAAAAAUAUAUAGUUUAGAUUUAGAUCUGACACAGAGAUGUUAUAAUGUUGUAAUAAUAUUACUUAAUUUUUGAAUAAAUAUUCAAGAAAACAGGUGACGGCAGAAAUCUACAAAAAUGUCAGACACUUCUCGUACUAUAUAUACUGAUGUAUCCGUCGUCAGUAAUAAUCGAAUAUUUAUCAAUUUGGUCUCAUAUUAUGUAAAAACAUAGUUAAUAAAUCUUUAAUUAAAUACACCACAUUCAGCAUUUGGCAAGUAUUCUUACCAACCUGUCAUUUUAAUUAUUUCACAUCCUGUUACAACAUAGAUAAAACAGGCAAUAAUAAAAUAGCAGGGGAAUCCCGUUAUAAUUAAGACAUUUUAAAACAAUAUACAUGUAUACUAAUGUUUGCUACUGUAAAUUGUUUGGGUUAUCUAUACGACAACUCGUGUUUAUUCGAUUUUUUGUUACAUAUCUGUAGUUUGUUUAACCUUUUUAAUUAAUGAAAAUUAACUGCUUGAAUCUAAUUAAUCUUCAGAUGUGAUAAACUAAUAUAUUGGGGUGAAACCUGUUUUUCUUUAACUCGUCUUAUUUUGUCAUGGGCGGUUUCAUGCCACCCAGAUAUAGUCAACGGGAACAAUCCUGGUGUAUUGUAGUACAUUGUCAGUGCAAAUCCUUGAAAACUAUAAUUCAAUAGUUAUUGCAUUCAAAGAUUUUAUUCUUAAAUGUCUGGAAAAUCAAAUUUUAUAAUUACUCCUAGUGCAAAUCUGAUAUAUAUUUAGUACAAAGUGAACACAAAUAUGUGUAAGUUGUUUAAGUUUUGAAUAAUUCCAUAACUUGACCAUUCUGACCAAAAGUUAAAAGAUUGCGUUCAGUUAACACUGGCCUACAUAGUAAAAAGACAGCUACUGCUCGUAUUUUAUAUGGAAACAAAAUGAAAAAAAGGUCCCAUUAUAAACUACAACAUUUUAAAAUGUGAUCAUAUCUUUGCGGUUUUCAAAAGAAAUAUAAAAAUAUUCACAAAAAGAUUCCCAUUGCAUUUCUGAAUACGGAAAAACAAAGCGGAUAUUUGCGGUGGCAACUUAUGGUAUAUAAACUAAAAAGCUAAACGACUUGGCCAUUCACAUUGUCUUAAUUGCUUGACCUGAAACAUCAUGGUAAUCUUUUCUUAUUUCAUUAUAUGUUUAGACAAUUUUAAUAUCUAAUAUAUCAAUAUAUCGUUUUAUCUUAAGCAAAUAUUUGACAAAAUGCCAUGAUAUUCUUUUCACUAGCAUUUUAAGGUAUCCUAUAAGGUUGCAAAAUUCUGUCAUAAGUUAUCUAGUGAAGAUUUGCUAUGAACUACCUAAUUUUCGCUUCGAUCAGAUUUACCCGUCAGCAAUAUUUUCACGAAUUUUAACAAGAAUAUUAGAACUGAAGAAUAUUACAAAAAUGGUCUAUAUAUUCAGUUAUUCAGUUAUUUCCCCUUUUUGCAGAAAGUCGCAUUUGCUGUAGUAUUGUUGUUGGUCUUGGCUGGGUGCACAGAAGCUUGGUUUGGCGGUGGUGGAGGAAGUAAGAGUGGCGGUGGAGGAAAUGGUAAGAGUGGCAAUGGUGGAGGAAGUAAGGGUGGCAAUGACGGAGGAAGUAAGAGUAGCGAUGGAAAAAAGGAAGGGAAGAAGGGAGGCACUUCAGUUGACGUAGGUGUAGAAGCGAGUAAAGAUAGCGGUCCUAGUGUUUCUGCCGGUGUGAGUCACAAAGGGGACGGCUGGAGUGCCGAUGUAAAAGGAACAGUAGAUUCUGAUGGAAACUGGAAAGCAAAGGCUGGUGUUUCUAUAGAACUUAACAAGAGAAGUAUUCACUAGAAUGGGCGUCACUAUAUUGUACGUGUACAUGCUGAUCAGUGUGAUUUCAAUGUAUACGAUAGUAACAAAGACGGCACGAUAGUUAAGAAUGAAAUACAUGCCAUAUUUGAAGACCACACAAAAGCCGAAGAACUAUUCGAUGCUUUGGAUAUAACAACAGGUGUGUGGUUACAGACUUUUGUGUGAGGUUUUGAAAGUUAGGUAGGCGACUCUAGGCCGAGAAGCUCAGAAAACUGUUUACUGCCUCCAAAUGUACAAACAGUUCCGUUUCAUAUGUUUGCCUUGAAUAAACGACAGUUUAACUCUCUUAGAUACCGUUCGCACUGUACACGUCCGCUCACAGAGAUUUUGAUUGUGUUGUUUUUUUAGUUUUAUAUCAGUUCUAUAUAUAUCUUUUGACAGUGAGUAACUCUAUACCAGGUUUUGUUUCAGUGACUUGUUUCUAUGUAUGUCACGUACGCAUACAGAAACUGAUAUAUCAACCUCCCUAUCCUUGCAAACACUAAGUUGACAGGCUGACUGGAACAAGAACAUGAACAAUAUAUUUUCUAUUAAGUCGAAGAAAAAAAUAUUGUUUACAUCUUUGUUAAGGACACAACCACAGUUGCCAGUUACUGGCCGGUCAGUGCACUUAUGUGCACCACACAGUGGGGUUGGCAUGCCUUCAUCUUGUUAGUAUAUAAGUCAUAUAGGUCAAACAUCAUUUUUAGCACUCUAUCAGAAUGAAUAGCAAUUCUUUUUAAAUGAUACUACUUCAUGUUAUUUUGUCCUGAGACUGUGUUCAUGCCCAGAAAUGAUGCUGAAUAUUGAGAAGAUAUACGUGCAUUUCUGUAAUAGUGGAAGAAGGCGAGGGCAAAACACUUUUAAAAUACACACCCGUGAACUUCAUAAUGUAUAAUUCCAUUGAUCACCAGAAAUAAUGCUACAAAUACUUAUAUAAUGUUAUUAUAUUUAGUUCAGUCUGAAUAAUAUUUCAAUAAUUUAUGAAAUUGUAACAUUACUUAUUGAACCUUGCACAUCCUGUUUGUCAACAAUAAUUACUUGUACUGUGUAAACAGAUGAAAGAUAAAAUUUGUUCAUUUUGUUAAAAUAAACAACGAUGGCAA